rnacentral:lncRNA from 1 species
CAGAAAAUGGUCAUGGCGGGGCAAAUUGGGGCUGGGGUCUCACCCUGAGACCCCCAGACUUGAGUCUCUUCUCUCUCCAUCCUUGUUUAAUGGUGCCCCCCGUUUGGUACCUGCUCUCCUCCCGAAACCGCCCCGCCAGCAGCAGCUUGGGGGGCUCUGGCAGACGGCACCCCCCCGAGGUACCCCUGGCCCUCCAGCCGGCUCCGGGUCUGAAAUUAAGUUUUAUUUCAAUUAUCGUAUCCAUAACGGCGAGGGACAGAGCAGGCACAACAAAAAUAACCAGUUUCUACGGCAACCAGGAAUCGGGUGGAAUCGUCUCCUUGGAGAGAGCGCCGUCCCCAUCGGUCCCCAGCCCGGUGACACCGCAGAUCUGUGACACAGGGGAUGCACAGGGGGGGUUGGGGGUGUGCUUUGGCCACAAAAAGGAUGUGAAAGGACCCAGGUGGUGUGGAGCAGAGGCUGCCAUGAGCAGGAUCCCUCCCCUCCGAGCCCUGCCAGCCUCCGAGCACCUUCCCUCCCCCGGCUCGGUGCCGUCCCGGGAGGAAUUUCAGCAGUUUCGCAGCUGGAGGAGCAGGACAGGGACCUGCCCUCUCUCAGCCCGCACCUGUCCUGACCUCGCUGUGCAGAGCCCAGCCCGGGAAGCUCCCCAGCUCCCCUGCAGCACCGGGGCUCACCGCCGGUGCCUUUCGCCUUCCGUCCCGGUGAACCCCACCGCUCGUUGGCUCCAGCCCUUUUGGCAGGCAACCACCUUCUGUGUACUUAAAAAAUGUUUGAAUGUUAGUUCGAAUGUAAGUUUUCAUGCCUUUAGCAAGUCGUUCCUCAAAAAAAAAAAAAAAAAAAUGUUUUGGCUCGCCUUCCUGUGGUUUCGCGUUUCACUUGCCCCCAUUUCUGCUCCGUGCUGCUCGCCGUGUUUGGACACGGUUAUAACUUAAUCAAAGAUAUCGCUUUACUUCCAGCAGGCUCCUGCGCUUGCUUUUAAAAAACAUUUGCUAUAAUACUGCUAGAAUCUCUUUGGACAAACAGUGUACAUUUACUGAGUGCCUCCAGUACCACCUCUGCGUAAUUCCGUGCUAUCAGCAGACAUUUUGCUCUUUUGGUGGCCUCUUUAAUU